rnacentral:rRNA from 1 species
CCUACGGGUGGCAGCAGUGGGGAAUAUUGCACAAUGGGGGAAACCCUGAUGCAGCGACGCCGCGUGAGUGAAGAAGUAAUUCGUUACGUAAAGCUCUAUCAGCAGGGAAGAAAUACUGACCUUACGGUCAGCAGACGGUACCUGAGUAAGAAGCCCCGGCUAACUACGUGCCAGCAGCCGCGGUAAUACGUAGGGGGCAAGCGUUAUCCGGAUUUACUGGGUGUAAAGGGAGCGUAGACGGUGCGCCAAGUCUGGAGUGAAAUGCCGCAGCUUAACUGCGGAACUGCUUUGGAAACUGGCGAACUAGAGUGCGGGAGGGGUAAGCGGAAUUCCUAGUGUCGCGGUGAAAUGCGUAGAUAUUAGGAGGAACACCGGUGGCGAAGGCGGCUUACUGGACCGUAACGGACGUUGAGGCUCGAAAGCGUGGGGAACAAACAGGAUUAGAUACCCGGGUAGUC